AACAAACGUUAAAGGAAGACCUUGCCGAUAACACUGGCCUUCAGACGGCUUUCAACGCAUACGAGAAAGUACUUGAAGAAGAAUGUGCGGGGAUAGACACUCGUCUAGCAGGUCUAGAGAACAUCACCGGAAUGCAGCUGUUCUUCAUUUCGAAUGCUAGGACUAUGUGCAGAAUACCAGACACCACUACAUUCGUCGAGGCGAUAAACGGCGGAUUAUACAGCCCUGCGCGAAGCAGGGUCAACGAGGCUAUGAAAAUUUUCAAAGAAUUUGCUAAGGCGUUCAACUGUUCACUUGAUUCCCCAAUGCAUCCAAACAAAACCUGCUCGUUUUGGUGAAUGAGAAUCAAAGUA
rnacentral:lncRNA from 1 species